AUUGAUAUUACAAUAAAUAUAGUUAAAAUCAAAAGUGCCAUAUUACACAUUCAUCUGAUCAGAUAUUUGAUAUGAUGGCUGUUUAAGGAAAAAUUAUAUUUUUUAUUUUCAUUAUUAUUGUUGUAGUUAUUUAUAGUGGUAUUUGCCUGCUUUGAGUAAUGUAACAAAACAACAAUGCCAAGAUAUGAGACUUAUAUUAUAUCUAAGGGAAACAUUCUAUUGUAAGUUAAGUGGAUGCAUUAUAUUCAUUGCGUAUUAUAAAUCAUAAUCUUAAAUGCUAUAACCACAAAUAAGUAAACAUUAUAACACAUUAAAACUGUUGUUAUGAUUACUCAUGAGAUGAUAUGACAUAUUACAAAGUUUUUUUUCUAAUACAUUAUGCAUUCAUUUUAAUGCCAUAAGAAUACUCUUGUAAUUUGUUUUAAAUACGGGCUUCAUAGUAAGUGUUACCGUUAAGUUUAAUCGAUAAUGUAUUUCUUCACUGAUGUUAUACAAUAUCCUUAUACAAAUGAAAAAAAAAUGUUUACAGCAUCUAAUGCUUUUAUUUUGCAGUGAAACGCAUCUAAGAAGAUGAAUAAAAUCAAGUGAGCCACAGAGAUGGCAUCGUCCAAGAGCACAGGCAUUUUAUCCAGAGGCAGAGAGUGAACUUUGUGUCCUGAAACCAGAAUCAGUUGGGAAGAAUGGAAUCAAGUCUACCCCAUAAAAGGCUUACACAGGUCCCCUUCCAGAUGCUGAUGUCUUGGUUUCUGGUGCAAAACUAAGUCAGAUUAAUCCCAAGCCUUUGCUGCCACACAUACUUGAGGACAUGUCAAA